UAAACCCUACGGGACGCAGCAGUGGGGGAUAUCGCACAAUGGGGGAAACCCUGAUGCAGCGACGCCGCGUGGGUGAAGAAGCGCCUCGGCGCGUAAAGCCCUGUCAGCAGGGAAGAAAAUGACGGUACCUGAAGAAGAAGCCCCGGCUAACUACGUGCCAGCAGCCGCGGUAAUACGUAGGGGGCAAGCGUUAUCCGGAUUUACUGGGUGUAAAGGGGGCGCAGACGGCGAUGCAAGCCAGGAGUGAAAGCCCGGGGCCCAACCCCGGGACUGCUCUUGGAACUGCGUGGCUAGAGUGCAGGAGG
rnacentral:rRNA from 1 species